GAUGAACGCUGGCGGCGUGCCUAAUACAUGCAAGUCGAGCGAACAGACGAGGGGCUUGCUCCUCUGACGUUAGCGGCGGACGGGUGUGUAACAUGUGGAUAACCUCCCUUUACGACUGGGAUAACUUCGGGAAAACGGAGCUAAUACCGGAUAAUAUAUUGAACCGUAUGGUUCAAUUGUGAAAGACAGUUUUGCUAUCACUUAUUGAUGGAUCCGCGCCGCAUUAGCUAGUUGGUAUGGUAACGGCUUACCACGGCAACGAUGCGUAGCCGACCUGAGAGGGUGAUCGGCCACACUGGAACUGAGACACGGUCCAGACUCCUACGGGAGGCAGCAGUAGGGAAUCUUCCGCAAUGGGCGAAAGCCUGACGGAGCAACGCCGCGUGAGUAAUGAAGGUCUUCGGAUCGUAAAACUCUGUGAUUAGGGAAGAACAAAUGUGUAAGUAACUAUGCACGUCUUGACGGUACCUAAUCAGAAAGCCACGGCUAACUACGUG
rnacentral:rRNA from 1 species